AACGCUAGCUACAGGCUUAACACAUGCAAGUCGAGGGGCAGCAUGGUCUUAGCUUGCUAAGUUUCGAUGGCGACCGGCGCACGGGUGAGUAACACGUAUCCAACCUACCGUUUACUACGGGAUAGCCUUCUGAAAAGGAGAUUAAUACCGUAUGGUAUUCUAAAGUUUCAUGACAUUAGAAUUAAAGGUUUACCGGUAAUCGAUGGGGAUGCGUUCCAUUAGAUAGUAGGCGGGGUAACGGCCCACCUAGCCAGCGAUGGAUAGGGGUUCUGAGAGGAAGGUCCCCCACAUUGGAACUGAGACACGGUCCAAACUCCUACGGGAGGCAGCAGUGAGGAAUAUUGGUCAAUGGGCGCGAGCCUGAACCAGCCAAGUAGCGUGAAGGAUGACUGCCCUAUGGGUUGUAAACUCCUUUUAUAAAGGAAUAAAGUGGUCCACGUGUGGAUUUUUGUAUGUACUUUAUGAAUAAGGAUCGGCUAACUCCGUGCCAGCAGCCGCGGUAAUACGGAGGAUCCAAGCGUUAUCCGGAUUUAUUGGGUUUAAAGGGAGCGUAGAUGGAUGUUUAAGUCAGUUGUGAAAGUUCGGGGCUCAACCCCGGAAUUGCAGUUGAUACUGGAUAUCUUGAGUACAGUUGAGGUAGGCGGAAUUCGUGGUGUAGCGGUGAAAUGCUUAGAUAUCACGAAGAACUCCGAUUG
rnacentral:rRNA from 1 species